CCUACGGGAGGCAGCAGUAGGGAAUCUUCCGCAAUGGACGAAAGUCUGACGGAGCAACGCCGCGUGAACGAUGAAGGCCUUCGGGUCGUAAAGUUCUGUUGUUAGGGAAGAACAAGUGUUAGUUGAAUAAGCUGGCACCUUGACGGUACCUAACCAGAAAGCCACGGCUAACUACGUGCCAGCAGCCGCGGUAAUACGUAGGUGGCAAGCGUUGUCCGGAAUUAUUGGGCGUAAAGCGCGCGCAGGCGGUUUCUUAAGUCUGAUGUGAAAGCCCCCGGCUCAACCGGGGAGGGUCAUUGGAAACUGGGAAACUUGAGUGCAGAAGAGGAAAGUGGAAUUCCAAGUGUAGCGGUGAAAUGACGUAGAGAUUUGGAGGAACACCAGUGGCGAAGGCGACUUUCUGGUCUGUAACUGACGCUGAGGCGCGAAAGCGUGGGGAGCAAACAGGAUUAGAUACCCUGGUAGUCCACGCUGUAAACGAUGAGUGCUAAGUGUUAGAGGGUUUUCCGCCCUUUAGUGCUGAAGUUAACGCAUUAAGCACUCCGCCUGGGGAUACGGUCGCAAGACUGAAACUCAAAUGAAUUGACGGNNGAGACGNGCGAGACGACACGAGGAGAG
rnacentral:rRNA from 1 species